rnacentral:lncRNA from 1 species
UAGGGUUUCUGCAUAAUCUCUCUCGCUUUCUUCUCCGCCAACCCUCAAGAUCUUCAAAUUAAUCUUCAAAUCAAGUUGAGGGUUCUGCAUCUUGGAUCGAUUUUCUUUUCUGAUUCUGAUAAUCAAAUGUCGUCAUCACAAAGGUUUUUAACGUCUUGGAGCACAAAUCUUUGAUUAUGUUCUAACGGCAUCACCACGGUUGAGAAUUUCACACGUAUAACACAGGGAACUCAAACGGCUCAGGCCCACCCUCUCAACCUGAGUGGUGUUGUGGCUUCCGGUUUAUAUCCUGUUGACCAGGUAACUUCAAUGAUUUGUUUUUGUAUUCAUGAAUGUAUAAUGGUUUAUUAACUCCAGAACAUGUACAAUAAUGUUUGUUAUAAUCAGGGGACAAUGAUGUGUGUAAAAUGCAACAUAUAAAUUACAUCAA